UCCUCUUUCCUCUCUUACAAUCUCACCAUCCUUUCACUCAACAUCUCCAAAGAGUGGAUCAGUAUCCCAGACAAUAUCAGUUAUUUUCUUUAAGGACAUAAAUGAAACCUUCUUACCACACACUACAGCAUUCUAGAAGCCAAACUAAUCGAGAAGAAAUAUUUUAAUUAUCAUGCUACUUUUCAACGGUUGCUCAAAGUCGAAUAAUUCAAGACAGAAUGGUGACCUUCAGUGAAUGAUGAAAAUUAUCUCUUGACAGAAGAAUAAGAAGUUGGAGGAGCUGAUUUUAUCUUGAUAAAGAAAGGGAAGAAGUGCACCUAGUCAGUGUGGUUUAACAGGCAUCCCCAGGUAUAAUGAAAAGAUAAAGAAAAGGCGUAAUUGAAACAUCACACCCACACAAGCCGGUCAGCUGAAGUUGUGUGUCAGGAUCUGCGAGACCUUGAGGAAGCACCCCCAGAAGGACAAAGCGCAUUGCUGGAGAUAAAAUAUGCCCAUUACCUUGCUUUAUAGGCGAUAACCUUUCAAGUCAGAGUGAAAGUAGCUGAGCAAGCAGUUCGUGGCACUCUGCAAAGUCACAGGCAUCAGGAAGUCAAAGGCAGCCAGAAAGCGCGAGUCAUGCGAGUGUGGGAAAUUCAUGGCUGGUGCAUUUCUCAAGCUAAACUGAAACCUCAGGCAAGAUCCCCACGGAUCAUGAAAGAGGCUUCACCCACGAUUUGCCACGACCUUAAUCAAGGUGCAGCAACAUCAAAGAGCUAGCCUGCCUGGGCAAUUCUAUUCAUAGCAGCCACAAAUCACAGCACUUGCCUCUCUGUGUAUCUGGAGAUCACUUAUCCAGAGGCACCAUCCUCCAAAAUAAACCCAUCUGGGUAGGUAUUUGGGAGCCACGUCAUCGACAAUCCUCCCAGCUGUACACCUGGCUCUGUGCUUUGUGGUUUUGCCUCAUCGUCCUGCUCAAUGGGACACUUCUUAGCCAGGAGUGAGGGAUUGAGGGGGAGGGGCACGGAUUCUGCCCUAGAAGAAAUAUCAGGGGUGGAGACAGAGAUGGACAUAAUUGAAACACGAUGAACCCACCAACUCUGGAGAAGAAGAGCAGAAAGAGUUCCGAAGGAUGACUGCAAGUAAGGAGUCAGGAACGCCACUUUCUGAAAGGGCAUCGUUCGUCACGAGCUGCAGGCAUCAUUUUGGAGCCUUACAAGCUUCCCUCCUGCUGUAUCUGUAAGUGGGGACAGUGCUGAGACAGACGCAAGAAGGGAAGGGAGUGAAGAAUCUUGGCAGAAGUGGGAUGUCCAGAUAAAUCCAAAGAAGAAGGUGCUGGUCCCACCUCACAGACCAAGAGACUGAAUAUGUGCACAGGAUCCCACUUGUCCAUGACCCCACACUCGGCUGAUGGAGGAACGGGGGCUCAUCAGCAUGCUGCAUGCCGGCAACACUCUCACGAGGACACACAGUGGUCCUGUCUCCAUCUCUGUGCUGAGUGGCAGACAAGUUAAAUAGAGAGCCUCGUGCAAUGCUGAUGCCCUGAAUGAUGGCCCAUGCCAGGAGAGAAAGGGAGACCUGAGAACGUGCUUUAGUAGGGGAAAAAAUAUGAUGCCGUAGAGAUGCUGAGUGAGAUCGUGACCUUACCAUCUCCAACUCUGAGACGGGCCAUCUCGGACAGAGACACCCCCACAGCCCUGAAAUCCAAACCUCAGCCCUUUCAUGGCCACAGCCAAGCCAGCCAUCAGGAGCAAGAGAUAACUCACGGACAGCAAAAACUUCUGCCUUGGCUGCAAAGAACAAAUGUGCCCUCUCUAUGCCCUGAAGUGCUAGGCCUCUAUCAGAGUGACACUGUGACCCCACACACCGGGGGCUGCAGGGACAUACUGUACCUCUCAAGCUAGCUAUUUGGCAGGAGGAGCUGCAGAUUCACUGGAGGGAUGCUGGGCAGUAGGAACAAUGGACCCCUUCUCUCCACUCACAACUCAAACAUGAUUCAGUGAGUCAAUGAUCCCUCCUGUGCUUCCAGAAACAGAAUCAAGAAAACCCUGUUUGCAAAAAGGUGGAACAACUGGAACCCUCGUUCAUCAUUGGUCGCACUGGAAAAUGGUGUGGCCGCUUUGCAAAACAGCCUGCUGUUCCUCCAAAUGUUAAACACACGGUUACCACAUGACCCGACAGUACCACUCCUGGGUGGCGUCUACCUAAGAGAACUAAAAACGUGUCCACAUGGAAACUUGCCCAUGAAUGUUCAUAACAGAACUACUUAUGAUAGCCCCAAAGAGGAAAUAACCUAAAUGCCUGUCAACCAUUAAAGGGAUAUACAAAA